rnacentral:tRNA from 1 species
UCCCUGGUGGCUCAGAGGUUAAAGCGUCUGCCUGCAAUGCAGGAAACCCGGGUUUGAUCCCUGGGUCGGGAA